UGACCCAAAUAGCACUAAUCCAAGUUUUUAUCUCCAAAAGAGCACUCAGGAUCAAAAAUCACAAAAACAGGUUUCAUUAAGUGUGUCAUUUACCUUUAUGCCCUUUCAUUUAAAUCUUUUUGAUUGAUUAAAUUAAAAAAAAAUUGAGACUCGCGAUUUGAAAUCUUUGUCGUCGUCUCAUCUCCAUCGCUGUCGUCGUCUCAUCUUCAUCGUCGUCGUCCGUCGUCAGCUCCGCCAGCCAUCGACGAUCUCCUUCAGCUAUGUCAUCGUCGUUAUCUUUCAGCUUGGCCAUCGGCGAUCUUUCUCUCUCUCUAUCUCUCUCUGGUUUUGAAUCGGAAAUGUUAUCUUCUUCUUCCUUGAUCUCCUAUCUCUCGCUUAGAGGUUUUGACCGUUUCUGAUUGACUGUAUUUGAUUGGAUCUCGGCGUUUUUCAGGAGGUGAAUUUUGUUUUCCUGCUCGAUCGUAUUUGCUGCGAAAAUUCCACCGGUUUACAGGGAAGUUCAUGACCUUAAGGAGAGCGAGUAUGGUUACGCUCGCAAGGUUUCAGGACCUGUCGUUGUUCCAGAUCCGCCGGAGUGUUGGAUCAGGAAACUGUUAGUGAUGAAAGCUUUCAGAAACAGGUACAAGUUUCUAACUGGGAACCAAGCUUUCAGCUUCACGAGUUAUUAGAUGAGCGUGGUAAAGAUAGUUUUGGCAUUGCUGACUUGUUUGAAAGAGUUCAAUUAACUCAAAACCCAACAGCUGUCAACGUGAGGCAUCUUGCCUAUCAGUUGUUCGAUAAAAUGAUUCCCAGAAACAGAAGGGAGCAGUAUAAUAAUCAACAAUUCAAAAUCUCCAAAUCAUGGCACUUCAAGUUUAAAAGCAGAGCCACAAGAGUGUAUUUACAUGCAAAUCUUUGGUAUAAUGUGACAAUAGAAGAUGGUGACACAAAGGAUAUCGAAGUAGAAUAUUUGAUUUUUGACAGGUCGGGGCAGCAAGUUUAUCGUAUUCAUGCAGGCAAGAGCUUUAUGAGAUGGUAUGUUGUUUGUGUGCCUGGUCUGUGGGGUAUAAACUUCUGGAUUUCUGUCUUAUGGAACAGAAAGACAAGAAAGAAGACAGUCAUUAGCUUAUUCAAACAUGGGAGACAAAUUUAUUAUGUGUUCUUGAAGCGACUUGCGUGGUUACUGCUGAGUAACAAUGAUCUGAUAUUUCAAGAGCGAACUAAGGAGAUGAGAAGCGCAAUUCAGAGCCUGAGACCCGCUGCUACCCGCUGCUACAAAGAAAUAAUUCUGAACCAUUAUGCUUUCUUUAUAUAGCAUCUUUUUAUCAAAUUUUGUUUUCGUGGCUUUUAUUAAACUUUCACCGCUUCGUUUACUUGUGUAAAUGAUUAACCGUUCUUCUCCAUAGUUUUGGGCUUAAAAUAUUGAUUGUUUUUUACUGGUGCUUUUAGCUUGACAGAACAUUCAGUGGUUGUUGUCGGAAAUAAAUUUUUCCCAUAUAGAUUUUGUUU